rnacentral:rRNA from 1 species
CGCCUUUUGAAUUAUAAACAUAAAAGGUCCUGCCUGCCCAGUGACACUUGUUUCAACGGCCGCGGUAUCAUGACCGUGCAAAGGUAGCGUAAUCACUUGUCUUUUAAAUAAAGACCAGUAUGAAUGGCAAGACGAAAGCCUAACUGUCUCCCUAAGCUAAUCAAUGAAAUUGAUCUUCCCGUGCAGAAGCGGGAAUAACGAUAUAAGACGAGAAGACCCUGUGGAGCUUCAAAAUUAAGCUAACAUCAUAAUGCCUUAGCACACAAUUUUAGGUUGGGGCGACCAUGAGGUAAAACAUAACCCUCAAGACAAAAACUAAGAAGGACACUUCAAAUAAAUAAUAUUAUAGUAAUUGACCCAAUAAUUGAUCAACGAACCAAGUUACCCCAGGGAUAACAGCGCAAUCUACUCAAAGAGCCCUUAUCGACGAGCAGGUUUACGACCUCGAUGUUGGAUCAGGACUCCCAAAUAAUGUAACAAUUAUUAAAGGUUCGUUUGUUCAACGAUUAAAGUCCU